GUCGGGGACUGUUGUGGGGCUGGUGGCCUAGAAUGUGUGCGGAACCCUGAGAGAGACUGUUGGAUUAGGGACCACACAGAAGGGAAGGCUUCCCAUCUUUGAGGACUCUAGAAGCAUCUAGUAGAGGAGACUGGAUUUAUCAACGAUGCCAUGGAGUGAAAGCAAUAUAAAACAAGCUAGGACUAAAGAGGAGGAUUCAGUUAGCUGCUGUGUGUAAAGCGCCCCAGCCUGUGCCUGCACAGUGCCUGUGUGGUGUGAACCCAUGACCAGGCCUCUGGAGGGAAGGAAGGUUAGGCUUAGUGGACACCAGCUUUCCUAAGGUGACUGUGGGUUCCCUGCCUUCCGAGAGCUUAAGAGAGCAGAGACUGUGUCUCCUGUUUUCUUCACACGCCGCUGCAUAUGGGAAGAUCUGAAGUCAACAGGCUUUAGCCCUGCAGGUGGAGGGAGGCCUCCAGGAGGUGGGCCCAGGACUCAGGAGGACUCAGGGCUGCCCUGCUGGCGAUCUUCCUGUUCUGUAACACUACAGGUCUAGCAGUCCAGCUGUCACAGAAAAGCUAGGACAUGCAGUAUGCUUCUUUGGAUAUUCUGAGUAACAUUUGGACUGUUACCCAUUGGCUACCAGCAUCUCCCAAGUGAGAAUACAUAGAUUACCCCCAGUGCCCUGAACAGCACUCGGUCCUAACACCCGUGUCCAUGGAAAGCACGCCGCGUCUGGAGAAAGAAGCCUGGC
rnacentral:lncRNA from 1 species